rnacentral:rRNA from 1 species
UACGUAGGGAGCGAGCGUUGUCCGGAAUUACUGGGCGUAAAGGGCGCGUAGGCGGGAACUUAAGUUAGAUGUGGAAACUCCGGGCUUAACCUGGAGACUGCAUUUAAAACUGGGUUUCUUGAGGGCAGGAGAGGAAAGUGGAAUUCCUAGUGUAGCGGUGAAAUGCGUAGAUAUUAGGAGGAACACCAGUGGCGAAGGCGACUUUCUGGACUGUACCUGACGCUGAGGCGCGAAAGCAUGGGGAGUGAACAGG